AACGAACGCUGGCGGCAGGCUAAACACAUGCAAGUCGAGCGCCCCGCAAAGGGAGCGGCAGACGGGUGAGUAACGCGUGGGAAUCUACCCAUCUCUACGGAAUAACGCAUGGAAACGUGUGCUAAUACCGUAUACGUCCUUCGGGAGAAAGAUUUAUCGGAGAUGGAUGAGACCGCGUUGGAUUAGCUAGUUGGUGGGGUAAAGGCCUACCAAGGCGACGAUCCAUAGCUGGUCUGAGAGGAUGAUCAGCCACACUGGGACUGAGACACGGCCCAGACUCCUACGGGAGGCAGCAGUGGGGAAUAUUGGACAAUGGGCGCAAGCCUGAUCCAGCCAUGCCGCGUGAGUGAUGAAGGCCCUAGGGUUGUAAAGCUCUUUCACCGGUGAAGAUAAUGACGGUAACCGGAGAAGAAGCCCCGGCUAACUUCGUGCCAGCCGCCGCGGUAACAC
rnacentral:rRNA from 1 species